AUUGAACGCUGGCGGCAGGCCUAACACAUGCAAGUCGAGCGGGGUUUUCGGACCUAGCGGCGGACGGGUGAGUAAUGCGUAGGAAGCUACCCGAUAGAGGGGGAUACCAGUUGGAAACGACUGUUAAUACCGCAUAAUGUCUUCGGACCAAAGUGUGGGACCUUCGGGCCACAUGCUAUCGGAUGCGCCUACGUGGGAUUAGCUAGUUGGUGGGGUAAUGGCUCACCAAGGCGACGAUCCCUAGCUGGUUUGAGAGGAUGAUCAGCCACACUGGAACUGAGACACGGUCCAGACUCCUACGGGAGGCAGCAGUGGGAAUAUUGGACAAUGGGCGCAAGCCUGAUCCAGCCAUGCCGCGUGUGUGAAGAAGGCCUUCGGGUUGUAAAGCACUUUCAGUAGGGAGGAAGGGUGUUGUGUUAAUAGCACAGCAUUUUGACGUUACCUACAGAAGAAGCACCGGCUAACUCUGUGCCAGCCGCCGCCGCGGUAA
rnacentral:rRNA from 1 species